CCUACGGGAGGCAGCAGUGGGGAAUAUUGGACAAUGGGCGAAAGCCUGAUCCAGCCAUGCCGCGUGUGUGAAGAAGGCCUUCGGGUUGUAAAGCACUUUCAGUGGGGAAGAAAGCCUUGGGGCUAAUACCCUCGAGGAAGGACAUCACCCACAGAAGAAGCACCGGCUAACUCCGUGCCAGCAGCCGCGGUAAUACGGAGGGUGCGAGCGUUAAUCGGAAUUACUGGGCGUAAAGCGCGCGUAGGCGGUCUGAUAAGCCGGUUGUGAAAGCCCCGGGCUCAACCUGGGAACGGCAUCCGGAACUGUCAGGCUAGAGUGCAGGAGAGGAAGGUAGAAUUCCCGGUGUAGCGGUGAAAUGCGUAGAGAUCGGGAGGAAUACCGGUGGCGAAGGCGGCCUACUGGACUGACACUGACGCUGAGGUGCGAAAGCGUGGGUAGCAAACAGGAUUAGAUACCCCGGUAGUC
rnacentral:rRNA from 1 species